rnacentral:rRNA from 1 species
CACAGGGAGGUAGUGACAAAAAAUAACAAUGCAGGGCCUUUUGGUCGCUGCAAUUGGAAUGAGUACAAUUUAAACCACUUAACGAGUAUCCAUUGGAGGGCAAGUCUGGUGCCAGCAGCCGCGGUAAUUCCAGCUCCAAUAGCGUAUAUUAAAGUUGUUGCAGUUAAAAAGCUCGUAGUUGAAUUUCGGAGGAGAGGCCCCGGUCUCGGUUCUGCCGUGUACCGGGCGCUUCGAAUCUUUUUUCUGGGGAAACAGGGUGUCCUUUACUGGGCGCUCUGGGGAACCAGGACGAUUACCUUGGGAAAAAUAGAGUGUUCAAAGCAGGCGAUUGCUUGAAUACGUUAGCAUGGAAUAAUAAAAUAGGACUUUGGUUCUAUUUUGUUGGUUUUAAGGACCAAUGUCAUGAUGAAUAGGGACAGUUGGGGGCAUUCGUAUUCCGAAGCUAGAGGAA